AUACGCCUUAGCAGAUACUAAGAAGGAGCUACUACUCAAAGAAAGAGGAAGAGGCAUUCAUUUCUAACCCCCCACUCCCCUUGGAUGAUAAAACAGAGCCUUCUUGCCUGCCCACUUGCAUAUCUCACAAGCACCCUAUCCAGAGGGAAGUCUUCUUCUUGCCUCUUUGUCUCUCCCUGAAUUCCUUCCAUGGGGAGGCCUGAAGAACCUGAAUGAACCUCAGUGAGUCCAGACACCGAUCCCAGACCAGGGUCAGACCUGAGCUGAAGUUGUGACCUACGCUGGAUCCUUUAACCCACUAUAUCAGGCUGGGAGUGAACCUGUGUCCUGGUGCCGCAGAGAUGCCACAAAUCCUGUUUUGCCACAGCAGGAACUCCUGGGCUAAUUUUUUUUAAAGGGACUAAUAUGAAGCAGGAAGAACAUAGCUGAAAGAAGGUAUUGAAUAUUUUUAAACUGUCUCAUGUUUAUGUAAGUUAAAAUAUCUGAAAAUAAUUCUAUUUUUCUUCAAAAGAGGAGGGAUUUUCUCUCUGCUAUAUCCAGAAUGAAUUUGUCAUUUGCGAUCUUAACCUUAAUAUAUUCUUUCCAGACCAUGCAUACUUUACAUGUUUAAAAAGUUAAGGUAUACAUGGGAGAUAUCCAAGAAAACUAAUUCACCAAAAUGGCUAAAACUUUCACAUUUAAUACCGUCUUCAGCUAAAGACGAAAGAGGUUUUGGGGUCAGUGAUUUGGAGCCUCAAAGGGGAAGGAGGCAUUUCACAUAAAGAGAGAAAAGCAAAUAUUUGGUAAACAACUGUUUGGAAGACCGUGCAGAGACAAUGGGGCACAGAGUGGACUCUGAUCUCUAGGCCCUGCCCUCCCCCACCAUAUCUGGCCAAUAUUCUCUGCAAAUAUCUCUGGUGAGAGCUCAGUCUGGGCCAGGGCCUUUAUCUAAGGGAAGAGAUUGCUGUUUCUUUCUGAGUCUUUGUGCCUUUAUUGUUCUCAGCUUGAAAUAAUCUACAUGACAAGGAGACAUUGUGGGUGGCAAAUGUUGUUCCCUUACACACUCAAACCACUAUCUUAUUCCACUGUUCUUAGUAAUGAAAAAACAGCAGAUAAUGGAAAUAUCUAUUUCUUGACUCUAUGCUGGUGAAUUUCAUGAGCACAUAUGUGGUACUGUGAAAAUCUAUUUUAAAGCCUCCCUCUAUUUCAUUCAUUUUCUUAUUUCAAUAGGGGUCGGGUCUAAAAGUAUUUUGAAUUUAGCCAAUAUUCCCUAGGUGACCUCAUCUAUUCCUAUAACACCUGUAACUCUUUUAUGCUGCCAUUCUUCAAAUUUACAUCUACAGUUUUGACAUCUAUUCUAAGCUCUGCAGGCUUUGCAUUCAGCUUUUCUUCUUGAACCUUGCAGAAAAGUGCACAUUUGAUAUAUCCAAAAUUGAAUUUAUUCUCAGAACCUUUAAACCAUCUCUUUCUGAGUCCUGUAUAUCAGUAAAUGGCAAGAAUAUCUAUUUCUUUUUUGUAGCUUGUUUCUGUGCAUUUGAUAGAUGCUCAAUAAAUCUUGGUUAAAUGAAAUUAGUAGGUUAACUGAUACUAAUUUAAGGAUAAAUCACAAGUAGCAUGAGAAACUUCAGGUGUAUUUUUUUAACAUUUCUCUUUAAAUGGUAGUUAUUUUUUUUUAUGGAGUUCCCAUCGUGGCUUAGUGGAAAUGAAUCUGACUAGCAUCCACUAGAACACAGGUUCAAUCCCUGGCCUUGCUCAGGGGGUUAAGGAUCUGGUGUUGCCGUGAACUGUGGUGUAGGUCAAAGACGCAACUCGGAUCUGGCAUUGCUGUGGCUGUGGUGUAGGCCAGCAGCAGUAGUUCCAUUUUGACCCCUACCCUGGGAAACUCCAUGUGCCAUGGGUGCAGCCCUAAAAUUUAAAAAAAGACAAAUAAAUAAAUAAAUAGUUAUUUUUAUUUCUUCGAACAAAGAUUUCCAUUUUAAUUUUUAAAAACAAAUAAAAAAUUAAGUCUAUUAAUCAGCAUUUGCAUUUUUAUUUUAAAUUAAUACACUUAAUUUUUCCUUUUUAUUUUUUAUUUUUAAUUUUAAUUUUUACAUUUUGGCUACACCCACAGCAUGUGGAAAUUCCUGGGUCAGGGAUCAAAUCUGAGCCUCAGUUAUGGCCUAUGCUACCACUAAGGUAGUGCCACAUCUUUAACCCACUGGGCCAUGGUGGGAACUCUUGUUUUUCCUUUUUAAAAUCAAUAGAAAUUAUUACCGCUUUUGCCCUUGAUGAAUGCCACAUUUCCUUUUUUUUCAAGUUUGUACAUCUUGUGGGUUCUAAAUUAAAUCUCUUAAGCUCUCAGGAAUUCUCAAACAUCUCUUUUUUGAUCACUGGCCUUUCAAAUUCAUAUUAUUAUUUUCCUUCUUUUAAUGUUAAAUUCAAACCUUGAUUAUUGCUCUACACUAGUUUAUGUGGCCUUGUUAUGACAAUUAAAGAAUGUAGCUCAUCGUCCAUUUCUAAAAGGGUUGAGCCACUGCCAUCACUGACCUCCAACACACUGGAGAAGAGCUCUGGGUGUAGAUCUGAAAGGAAACACUCUGCCCGAGGGAAGGUGGCAGAACAGGUCUUCAGAUAGCUAGACAUUUUCACUUAAUUCUUCCCUUACAUCUUCAGAGCAGUUUCUCAGAGCAAUCUGAGAGAUUGUCUCCUGGGCUAUAAUCCUCAUUAAGACACUGAAUAAACUCAACUCACAAUUUUUCAUAUUGUGCAUUUUUUUAAGUUUGGUUAUAUCUUCAGUUAAUUCACUGUGGGUUGUCAUAAAUGUAUUUUACAUAUCCCCCAGUAAAAAAUAUGAAUACUCAUAGGUACGCAAAAGAUGCAUGGCAAAAUUAUGCAAAUAAAAUCUAUCUUAUGUUUCUGG
rnacentral:lncRNA from 1 species